rnacentral:pre_miRNA from 1 species
UUAAUACUCCCUCCGUCCCAAAAUUCUUGUCUUAAAUUUGUCUAAAUACGGAUGUAUCUAGUUACGUUUUAGUGUUAGAUACAUCCGUAUCUAGACAAAUCUAAGACAAGAAUUUUGGGAUGGAGGGAGUACAAA